rnacentral:ncRNA from 18 species
UAUCGACGUAGAGGCGCAAUGGUAAAGAGUAACUAUUAUUGGGGUGAUGCCAAUGAAUAAUAGUGAAAGGUAUCCAUUGCCGAAGUGAAUUGCAUAUCAAAGCAGUUUGCUGGGGUUGCAUCCGAAAGGAACAACACUGCCAUAGUAUUUAAUGUAUAACUAUGGAGCGCUACUGUAGGU